AUUGAACGCUGGCGGCAGGCCUAACACAUGCAAGUCGAGCGAGCGGCGGACGGGCGAGUAAUGUAUGGGGACUGCCCGAUAGAGGGGGAUAACUACUGGAAACGGUGGCUAAUACCGCAUACUAUCGGCUAACCCAUCUGGGAUUAGCUAGUAGGGGGGGUAAAGGCUCACCUAGGCGACGAUCUCUAGCUGGUCGUAGAGGAUGAUCAGCCAGACGGGGACUGAGACACGGCCCAGACGCCUACGGAGGCAGCAGUGGGGAAUAUUGCACAAUGGGAGCAAGCCUGAUGCAGCCAUGCCGCGGGUAGGAAGAAGGCCGUAGGGGGGUAAAGUACUUGCAGCGGGGAGGCGUUGCCCGCAGAAGAAGCACCGGCUAACUCCGUGCCAGCAGCCGCGGUAAUUC
rnacentral:rRNA from 1 species